ACUUUACACAAUCCACAUUUUGCUCCAGGCUAAAGGAGCAGCACAUCCUUCUCAGUGCUGACGGACCUCAUCGCAAUGUGCUCAAGUUUAAGCCGCCGCUGUGUUUCACGACGGAGGACGCUGAGCUGGUGGUGGAGAAAAUCGACCUCAUUCUUACAGAACUGGAGGAAGCGUUGAAGCUGCACGACGCACCGAAUGUUGAGAAUGAAAGCAGUAAAAGAAAACUGCCGACUGAUGAAAACGGACACCAGUAUGGUUUAAUACACAGCAGAGGGAGCAGUCAAGGAGUUUCUCAGCAAACCACUCAAAACAAACGCCUCAAGACAUAAAGCUGCCUGGGAACAAACACUUGAUCUUUAUCAGGAAAGAACUGAUAAAGGACCGUAUACUCUCUGGAAAAGGAAUAAAAGGUGCCUUAGCAUGAAAUCUCAUGAAAAAAAUCUUAAUAUACUGUAUAUCUAUGAGAUUGCAGUGUCUUCUCAGGUAUUGUUUUUAAAUUACUCUUAGGAAUCAAGCUACUUAUUGAGCAUAUUAACAUGUGUAUUAUGACUUGGUGCAGGUUAUUAUGCAACUUAUUAAUCUACACAACUUGUAUUUAAAUUUUUGCCAAUAUUCAUGUGAUUUUUUUUUUAUUGAAUUACAAUUUUAGUACAUAAAGCAUGUAUGUCAAAAUAUGCCAUGGUGCCUUUAUGUGAAUUUAGCCUUAAAAUGCAGCUUUAAUUGUUAUAAAGCAUGAAAUACAUGUGUUAAACAAAUGCCACUGAAAUAAAUCAAUAUAUGUAUGUAA